GAUGAACGCUGGCGGCGUGCCUAAUACAUGCCAGUCGAGCGAACAGACGAGGAGCUUGCUCCUCUGACGUUAGCGGCGGACGGGUGAGUAACACGUGGAUAACCUACCUAUAAGACUGGGAUAACUUCGGGAAACCGGAGCUAAUACCGGAUAAUAUAUUGAACCGCAUGGUUCAAUAGUGAAAGACGGUUUUGCUGUCACUUAUAGAUGGAUCCGCGCCGGAUUAGCUAGUUGGUAAGGUAACGGCUUACCAAGGCAACGAUGCGUAGCCGACCUGAGAGGGUGAUCGGCCACACUGGAACUGAGACACGGUCCAGAGUCCUAAGGGAGGCAGCAGUAGGGAAUCUGACGCAAUGGGCGAAAGCCUGACGGAGCAACGCCGCGUGAGUGAUGAAGGUCUUCGGAUCGUAAAACUCUGUUAUUAGGGAAGAACAAAUGUGUAAGUAACUAUGCACGUCUUGACGGUACCUAAUCAGAAAGCCACGGCUAACUACGUG
rnacentral:rRNA from 1 species